rnacentral:lncRNA from 1 species
GUGACUUGACUUUAUUUAAUGAGAUUUUUUUUUUCAAUUUUUCCAGAAUGAAUAAGAUUAUAGUUUUAGAUGAUCACCUAAUUGUGUUGACACGUCAGUAAGUAUUAGUAAUAUCCAACUCAAAAAAUUUGGGUGCCGUCCCACAUCGCCACCGCGCCACGUGUAAACCUUAUAAUGAAUCAAAAGAUAAACGUUAAUAAAACUCAUCACAAAAUUUAGGCGACGCUGCAACUUUGUAAGGAAACCCGCCACCCCCCCUACGUGAAUGUAAUAUAUAACAACACGUUUACAACGACCAUAUCGUCUACAGAGAACACAGGGUAACAUAACAACCCAAAUAAUCACAUAACCACCAAAUCAAAUUUAGACACGUAUGUACGACGGGGUUGAUUGUCGGUGACCAUCAUGUAAAGCUGUAAAGGCAGUUGCUUUUUGUAAAAGCCUCGGGCUUUUUUAUUGUUAUUAUUUCUCUCUCUCUCUCUCGUCAAAACUCAAAACCGAACCACAACGUUGAAAUGAAUGUACAAAGCAAUAAUAAUAAUAAUAAUUUAAAAAAAAAAAGGAGGCGGUGGGCGGGGGGGGGGGGCUAAAGCUCACACGCCAAGUAAGUAAGAAAGAAAGAGAAGAGUGAAGAGAUAAAAGGUAACGUCACUCAAGUUGAUUGGACAGUGCUGUGCAGGCCGGCAGCGAUUAGCCAGUAGGGAGGAAGCAUAGCAGACUUUUGGUCUACGGCCACAGCCCCUCUUUUGGUGCGUCAAGGGGGUACCCCACUGCCUUUCUUGGGUUCUUAACCCUUCUUUUAGUUUCAGCCUUUCAGGGUUUGGUGACCUACUGUAUAUGUAUAGUUUUGGACAUUGCUCUCAAAUUUUUUAAUACCAAUUCGGUUCUAUUUUUGUUGAUUUUUGAUACAUUAUUACUGUAUAAGUUUUGUAUCUCUUGUGGACGUUUUCGUUCUCGACUUUUUAGGAUCCGUUUAGAAUUGUUUCUAGCAGGUUCAAAAGUAUUUUAAAAAAAUUAUUUUUGACUAAAUUAUUUCAUCCUACCACAUAUUUAAAAAUUAAAGGAGGUGUACCUCUUUAAAAUCUGAUUUUAGAAAUUAUUUGUAGACUUAAUACAAUUCCAUAUAGACACAUUAUCCUUAC